UUUCUGUAAUUAUGUUAUUCUCU
rnacentral:snRNA from 1 species